UGGGCCUUAGUGGUCCUGUGGU
rnacentral:miRNA from 1 species